UAUGUGAAAUGUAAAAUUAUUCAAAGCUCUAACAAGUCCAACGUUAUCUUACCAACAUAAGCACAAAAUAGCAUUGAUAUAUAGAUAUUAUAUGCUUACAAGCAGUUAUAGAUGCCCAUGGUGAGACAACAAAAUAUUAAGCUUCAAAUUUUAGUGCCUUAUUGAAGUUUUUUAUAUUAAAAUGCUAGUCGUACGUUGGCUUUUGUCAAUCAUACUUUAUAGUUUUUUAUGAACAGUUUUUUAUAAUUAUCAUGGAAUCCUUUUUUUUAUAAUUUCUUAUACAACAAAACUGCAUCAUUACUUUCUCCCUAUAAUUUUUUCAUUCAGCAAGACAUCAAACAUAUGGGUCGUACGUAGAUUUUUGUCGCCCACUGUAUGUAUCAUUUGUAAUAACAAUUGAUAAUUUAAAACAAAUAUUUCUUGCCCAAUUUCACUUUGAACAAAAUAUUUAAAUUUCAUUGAAGUGAAAGGUUUUAGUACGGCAACAACGAAAUUGUGUACAUCGCUGUCGCUGCCAUCUGUAAAAUGUUCAAGAAGUUGACUUUAAGACGACAUUUGCCGACAAAAAAAUUUCGUUGUCGUACAGUCGUCUUGAUUUUUCAAAACUGAUAUAUUUUAUACUAAUAAGUUUAAAUAAAUACAAUAUUCGCAAUUAUUUCGUUAUAUUGUAUUCUUCAUUCUUGUCUUCGAACUGGCGGAAUACGUGCCUGCGUACGUGAGAGUGAUAGACACACUACGUGAACGGAGCAUACAAACACGCAUUCUAUACUAAUUGUAAUUAAUUUUCAUUGAUCGAACUAUUAUUCUGCAGAUUUCGCAAUGCCUAAACUCUCCCAAGGAGAACUCCAGAGACACAAGCUCGAGAAAAUCUGCUACGUGUUAAGAAAACAGCUAAAUCAAGAGCGGACUGUAAUCGAGAAUACAGACUACGAAAAAAAGCUUGGAGAGUUGCUCUAAACCAACACCUGAUUGCAUGUAUGCAUGCUCUUCAACCAACGACAAUGUACAUAUGUAUGUAUUAUGAAAGACGAACCAUCGCAGCAAAAUGCAAUCGCAAAUGAAGAUAUUAAAAUGGGCAAUAGUCGCCUUCAAUAUCGCGAAUAUUUUCAUAGUCGAGAUAGUAUGUACUUAUAAUAUACAAAAUGAUAAUAUCGUCGAUUUAUUAUUAUUCAAGCUGAUCACCAAGAGUCAUAUUUGCCCUCACAACAUGUCGUUGAAAAUACAUAACUUUACUGAGUAGUACCAGUUCAUUUAAGUUCUCUGGUUAAACUACAUUCCUUUUAUUUAAAUCUCUGUGUGAAAAAAAUACAGAUUCGAUCAGGCUUGUACAAUGUGGUAGACUGACUUUAUUGUCGCUUUGACCUAUCGUAAGCGCUCGUUUUACGCUCUUCGUUUGUGCAUGUAAUGCUGGAAACAGUCACCGAGGAAAAACCGUAGACCGAAUCAGCUGAUACGACCUAACUUAUGAGAGCCCAAUGUAAAUGAACACUUACCACCGUAGGUAAUUAAAAAAUAAACUUGGCUAUAUUUGAAAUAUAACUAACUCAAAAUCUCAGUGGAAUACAUUUAUUUUUAAUAGGUAGACAAUUUUAAGAGUUGUAUUUUAUUAUUAAGCUUUUACAUUAUGAAAAAUUAUAACUAAGAAUCCUAAUGUGUGCAACAUCAUAUACACAAAUUAAACAAUGACAACAUUGGUGAAAUGAAAACAAAAAAGAACAACUGAUUUCUAGCUUUUGACAAAUUUUGUUUAAUACGGACGGAAAGUACGCAAAGGCUGCUUGUCAGUGACUGCACAUGCUAAGAUUUUUCUCAUCCUUGAUUAUAAUGAAUGCGAUACUUUAAACAUUAACACUCCACAUUUUCAUAUGUGUGCAAUAAAUUCCACUGCACAUACAAUGAGUUUGACUGAUUUUAGCGAUAUCAGGUUGAGUAAAUGUAAAACAUAAAAAGAGAUCAAUAUACAUAUCUCCUAACGAAGAGUUCGUUGGUUAUGUACAAUCAUGGUUGUGCUGCUCUCCUUGGCAGGAAUGAUGAUCACAUACCAUUGAUUCACUAUGGUGACUUUAGUGUAAGGGAUGCGUUCUCACUACUACUUCAGUUUUUUCGUCAAAAAUUCGGUUUAGAUAUAAAUAACGACCGGAAAAUUUCCACGACUAAAUCAUGAACAAGGAUUGACGCUCUAUUCUCCAGAAAUCUAUACUAUUGACAAUCACGAACAUAUAAUAUGUAUGGUUCAUACUCCAUUUACCAUGAAAAGUAAUAUCCGUUAUACCUAUACCUGCUCGGACUGAAGAUAAUGUACAAAUUGAAGACAUAAGUUAAAUUUGUAUACAUCUUAUUAUUUCAAUUAUCUCUAUAAUAUGUACAAUACAACUCUCUCUCUCACUCUCAAUCUCAAAUAAUGUGUUAAGAAGUUUUCACUUCUAUCACGUGUACUGUGCUCCAUUUUCCAUAUUUUCUUAGUUUUUAAAUGUUAAGGAGACAAAUGAGCAGCAAUUGAUUUUCAUAUACGUCAUAUGUAUAUACAUAUAUAGAAUAUACGGCGGGAUUCGACGGGACGAAUAUAAGUUUGUAUAUGAAAAUAAAACUUUUUUAAUACUUUUCUGGAAAUUUUCCCACAUUUUCUCACCGUUUAAACCUUUCUUGGGCAUCAACGAAUAUUUCAAGACUAAAAUUAGCCAAAUCGGUUCAGCCGUUCUCGAGUUUUGGGAGACUAAUUGCCGUCUUAAAUAAAAGCGACAGCGGCAAAUUAUUGUCAAAAAUUCCCCAUGCCCCUAGAUUUUGUUUGGUAUAUAUGUAUUAAACAGCUGCGCGAAUGUAUUCGUUUUUGUAAUCAUUCUCUUUACUCUCAAAACAUGUACAAUAUUUGCAAAU